GUGGUAACACAAAUAGUUUUAAAUUGGUAAUAACGUCACAAUUGACAGUUGGAUAAAGAUCCCGGAUCCGGCUGCAUUGUUAAUGUAGCAGGGGUCAACAUAUCGGACGGAACGGUCAGCAGUAAGUCAAAGGCUAUCCUCGACUUCGAAUUCGUCCUUGGCCCACCGCUGACUUCAACUCCAGGGCGCUUCUACUUCACAUCGGAUUGCCCGGACGAUUACGUCUUCGCAUAUGCUUGCGCGAAUUUGAACAACAUCAUCGAGGGUGUUUGCUAUGAUCGCUUGCUUGUUGACAUUAUCAUCUUCAAGCUGGACCGUCCACCGAUGCACAAAAUUGUUCGCGAACUAUGGAAGAAGUUCGGCCUAAAGUUUGAUGAUCCUAGAAACACCUACAACCGGAUCGGUUUACCUUGCACGGAAGACGUUUUAUAGGCCUACGGUGCGGUGGUGGAGAAAGAAUGAAGAAG